AAGUAAAAAAAUUGGGAAAUAGAGAAAGCGGCUAGGAAUCUUAAGGAGAGCUAUAGGAAGGAGAAGGUGUAACAAAAGCUUCAAGGUUUUGCAAUCCUAAGGUAGGGGAUGUUCUUAUUGAUGGGUGAAUUGGGCAGUGAGGAUGGUGAGGGUUCCUUACCCUUCCAUCAACGCUAUGGGUAAUGCUUUAUUUCCCUUAUUUCUUACGAUUUAUAAAUUAUUUAGCCAAAAAAGAUUUGGGCAAAAUCUUAUUGGCACGAUUUACGAAUUUUAUGGUUUUGUUUGAGUUGCUCUGAAAACCAAAUGGGAUUUGAAAUAAAUUCCCUAUAGUCAAUAAAAUGCUAUUGUUUGUACGUUUAACAAUCCUUGUUGUUGAUUGUGAUUCUAUUACUGUGAAAUUGUGC
rnacentral:lncRNA from 1 species